UACAGAGGUCUCAAGCGUUGUUCGGAUUCAUUGGGCGUAAAGGGCGCGUAGGCUGCGGGGCAAGUCGGAUGUGAAAUCUCGGGGCUUAACUCCGAAACUGCAUUCGAUACUGCCGUGCUUGAGGACUGGAGAGGAGACUGGAAUUUACGGUGUAGCGGUGAAAUGCGUAGAUAUCGUAAGGAAGACCAGUGGCGAAGGCGGGUCUCUGGACAGUUCCUGACGCUGAGGCACGAAGGCCAGGGGAGCAAACGGG
rnacentral:rRNA from 1 species